rnacentral:rRNA from 1 species
CAUGGUCUUAGCUUGCUAAGGCUGAUGGCGACCGGCGCACGGGUGAGUAACACGUAUCCAACCUGCCGUCUACUCUUGGCCAGCCUUCUGAAAGGAAGAUUAAUCCAGGAUGGCAUCAUGAGUUCACAUGUCCGCAUGAUUAAAGGUAUUUUCCGGUAGACGAUGGGGAUGCGUUCCAUUAGAUAGUAGGCGGGGUAACGGCCCACCUAGUCAACGAUGGAUAGGGGUUCUGAGAGGAAGGUCCCCCACAUUGGAACUGAGACACGGUCCAAACUCCUACGGGAGGCAGCAGUGAGGAAUAUUGGUCAAUGGGCGAUGGCCUGAACCAGCCAAGUAGCGUGAAGGAUGACUGCCCUAUGGGUUGUAAACUUCUUUUAUAAAGGAAUAAAGUCGGGUAUGCAUACCCGUUUGCAUGUACUUUAUGAAUAAGGAUCGGCUAACUCCGUGCCAGCAGCCGCGGUAAUACGGAGGAUCCGAGCGUUAUCCGGAUUUAUUGGGUUUAAAGGGAGCGUAGAUGGAUGUUUAAGUCAGUUGUGAAAGUUUGCGGCUCAACCGUAAAAUUGCAGUUGAUACUGGAUGUCUUGAGUGCAGUUGAGGCAGGCGGAAUUCGUGGUGUAGCGGUGAAAUGCUUAGAUAUCACGAAGAACUCCGAUUGCGAAGGCAGCCUGCUAAGCUGCAACUGACAUUGAGGCUCGAAAGUGUGGGUAUCAAA